rnacentral:tRNA from 1 species
GUUUCAUUGGUGUAACGGCAACAUACAUGUCUGUGACGCAUGAGGCAAGGGUUCAACUCCCUUAUGAAACC